GAGCUUUUAUAAAAAUUUAUUUACUUGGGGCAAGGGCAUAUUAUUUAUAUGUUUUUUGAUCCUUUAGGAUUAUAGAUAUAAGUUACCUUGGGGAUAACUAGGUAAGAAAUAAGGAGAGUCCAUAUUGAUUUAUUUAUUUGCCAUCUCGAUGUUGACUUAAAGUAAAUAUGAGGGUGCAGAAGUUCUCNUAUUAGGUCUGUUCGACCUUAAAUCUUUUCAUG
rnacentral:rRNA from 1 species